rnacentral:tRNA from 1 species
UAGGAUAUAGUGUAAUGUGGUAGCACGGAGAUUUUUGAAUUCUCAGGUGUAGGUUCAAGUCCUAUGAUUCUAG